GGGUUGUGAGGUUAAGCGACUAAGCGUACACGGUGGAUGCCCUGGCAGUCAGAGGCGAUGAAGGACGUGCUAAUCUGCGAUAAGCGUCGGUAAGGUGAUAUGAACCGUUAUAACCGGCGAUUUCCGAAUGGGGAAACCCAGUGUGAUUCGUCACACUAUCAUUAACUGAAUCCAUAGGUUAAUGAGGCGAACCGGGGGAACUGAAACAUCUAAGUACCCCGAGGAAAAGAAAUCAACCGAGAUUCCCCCAGUAGCGGCGAGCGAACGGGGAGCAGCCCAGAGCCUGAAUCAGUGUGUGUGUUAGUGGAAGCGUCUGGAAAGGCGUGCGAUACAGGGUGACAGCCCCGUACACAAAAAUGCACAUAUUGUGAGCUCGAUGAGUAGGGCGGGACACGUGGUAUCCUGUCUGAAUAUGGGGGGACCAUCCUCCAAGGCUAAAUACUCCUGACUGACCGAUAGUGAACCAGUACCGUGAGGGAAAGGCGAAAAGAACCCCGGCGAGGGGAGUGAAAAAGAACCUGAAACCGUGUACGUACAAGCAGUGGGAGCACGCUUAGGCGUGUGACUGCGUACCUUUUGUAUAAUGGGUCAGCGACUUAUAUUCUGUAGCAAGGUUAACCGAAUAGGGGAGCCGAAGGGAAACCGAGUCUUAACUGGGCGUUAAGUUGCAGGGUAUAGACCCGAAACCCGGUGAUCUAGCCAUGGGCAGGUUGAAGGUUGGGUAACACUAACUGGAGGACCGAACCGACUAAUGUUGAAAAAUUAGCGGAUGACUUGUGGCUGGGGGUGAAAGGCCAAUCAAACCGGGAGAUAGCUGGUUCUCCCCGAAAGCUAUUUAGGUAGCGCCUCGUGAAUUCAUCUCCGGGGGUAGAGCACUGUUUCGGCAAGGGGGUCAUCCCGACUUACCAACCCGAUGCAAACUGCGAAUACCGGAGAAUGUUAUCACGGGAGACACACGGCGGGUGCUAACGUCCGUCGUGAAGAGGGAAACAACCCAGACCGCCAGCUAAGGUCCCAAAGUCAUGGUUAAGUGGGAAACGAUGUGGGAAGGCCCAGACAGCCAGGAUGUUGGCUUAGAAGCAGCCAUCAUUUAAAGAAAGCGUAAUAGCUCACUGGUCGAGUCGGCCUGCGCGGAAGAUGUAACGGGGCUAAACCAUGCACCGAAGCUGCGGCAGCGACGCUUAUGCGUUGUUGGGUAGGGGAGCGUUCUGUAAGCCUGUGAAGGUGUACUGUGAGGUAUGCUGGAGGUAUCAGAAGUGCGAAUGCUGACAUAAGUAACGAUAAAGCGGGUGAAAAGCCCGCUCGCCGGAAGACCAAGGGUUCCUGUCCAACGUUAAUCGGGGCAGGGUGAGUCGACCCCUAAGGCGAGGCCGAAAGGCGUAGUCGAUGGGAAACAGGUUAAUAUUCCUGUACUUGGUGUUACUGCGAAGGGGGGACGGAGAAGGCUAUGUUGGCCGGGCGACGGUUGUCCCGGUUUAAGCGUGUAGGCUGGUUUUCCAGGCAAAUCCGGAAAAUCAAGGCUGAGGCGUGAUGACGAGGCACUACGGUGCUGAAGCAACAAAUGCCCUGCUUCCAGGAAAAGCCUCUAAGCAUCAGGUAACAUCAAAUCGUACCCCAAACCGACACAGGUGGUCAGGUAGAGAAUACCAAGGCGCUUGAGAGAACUCGGGUGAAGGAACUAGGCAAAAUGGUGCCGUAACUUCGGGAGAAGGCACGCUGAUAUGUAGGUGAAGUCCCUCGCGGAUGGAGCUGAAAUCAGUCGAAGAUACCAGCUGGCUGCAACUGUUUAUUAAAAACACAGCACUGUGCAAACACGAAAGUGGACGUAUACGGUGUGACGCCUGCCCGGUGCCGGAAGGUUAAUUGAUGGGGUCAGCGCAAGCGAAGCUCUUGAUCGAAGCCCCGGUAAACGGCGGCCGUAACUAUAACGGUCCUAAGGUAGCGAAAUUCCUUGUCGGGUAAGUUCCGACCUGCACGAAUGGCGUAAUGAUGGCCAGGCUGUCUCCACCCGAGACUCAGUGAAAUUGAACUCGCUGUGAAGAUGCAGUGUACCCGCGGCAAGACGGAAAGACCCCGUGAACCUUUACUAUAGCUUGACACUGAACAUUGAGCCUUGAUGUGUAGGAUAGGUGGGAGGCUUUGAAGUGUGGACGCCAGUCUGCAUGGAGCCGACCUUGAAAUACCACCCUUUAAUGUUUGAUGUUCUAACGUUGACCCGUAAUCCGGGUUGCGGACAGUGUCUGGUGGGUAGUUUGACUGGGGCGGUCUCCUCCUAAAGAGUAACGGAGGAGCACGAAGGUUGGCUAAUCCUGGUCGGACAUCAGGAGGUUAGUGCAAUGGCAUAAGCCAGCUUGACUGCGAGCGUGACGGCGCGAGCAGGUGCGAAAGCAGGUCAUAGUGAUCCGGUGGUUCUGAAUGGAAGGGCCAUCGCUCAACGGAUAAAAGGUACUCCGGGGAUAACAGGCUGAUACCGCCCAAGAGUUCAUAUCGACGGCGGUGUUUGGCACCUCGAUGUCGGCUCAUCACAUCCUGGGGCUGAAGUAGGUCCCAAGGGUAUGGCUGUUCGCCAUUUAAAGUGGUACGCGAGCUGGGUUUAGAACGUCGUGAGACAGUUCGGUCCCUAUCUGCCGUGGGCGCUGGAGAACUGAGGGGGGCUGCUCCUAGUACGAGAGGACCGGAGUGGACGCAUCACUGGUGUUCGGGUUGUCAUGCCAAUGGCACUGCCCGGUAGCUAAAUGCGGAAGAGAUAAGUGCUGAAAGCAUCUAAGCACGAAACUUGCCCCGAGAUGAGUUCUCCCUGACUCCUUGAGAGUCCUGAAGGAACGUUGAAGACGACGACGUUGAUAGGCCGGGUGUGUAAGCGCAGCGAUGCGUUGAGCUAACCGGUACUAAUGAACCGUGAGGCUUAACCUUACAACGCCGAAGGUGUUU
rnacentral:rRNA from 1 species